GCAAACAAAGCCCAAGACGAGUG
rnacentral:siRNA from 1 species